rnacentral:rRNA from 1 species
GACGAACGCUGGCGGCGUGCCUAAUACAUGCAAGUCGAGCGGACUUGAAGUAGUGCUUGCACUCCUGAGAGUUAGCGUCGGACGGGUGAGUAACACGUAGGCAACCUUCCCUCAAGACUGGGAUAACUACCGGAAACGGUAGCUAAUACCGGAUAAUUUAUUACAUAGCAUUAUGUGAUAAUUAAAGACGGAGCAAUCUGUCACUUGGGGAUGGGCCUGCGGCGCAUUAGCUAGUUGGUGGGGUAACGGCCCACCAAGGCGACGAUGCGUAGCCGACCUGAGAGGGUGAACGGCCACACUGGGACUGAGACACGGCCCAGACUCCUACGGGAGGCAGCAGUAGGGAAUCUUCCACAAUGGGCGAAAGCCUGACGGAGCCACGCCGCGUGAGUGAUGAAGGUUUUCGGAUCGUAAAGCCCUGUUGCCAAGGAAGAACGUCUCCUAGAGUAACUGCUAUGAGAGUGACGGUACUUAAGAAGAAAGCACCGGCUAACUACGUG